ensembl:lncRNA
CACACACCAAGAAGCAGCUUGGAAAUGGAUGUGACUUACUCUUAUUAACGAUGCUAAGAAAGAUACUGAGAAAUUAGUAACAAUGAAUUAGAAGUCAUCCACAAACAAAAGUACCUUUGUGGGAGUUGUAGUAUCCAGCACCAAAUGCCAAGAGACCAGGAGGAAUCUGCCCACCUGUGAACCAGUAACAGGCAAACAGACUUCAGUAUGGGCUACAAAGCCAGCAGGAUCAGUGUGAGCCUGCCCCAACCCAUCUUGGUCAGGGUUGAGCAAAGGCUAGAGAUGAUUUGAGCAGCCACCCAUGAAUGAGAGAGACUUUGCAGAAGGUCGCACUUCCUGAGAGAGGAUUCCAGCACACAAUUGGAGCUGAAGAAAAAUACGAAUUUGUUUACAGUGAAGACAAUGAAAGGAGAUUUCUCAGCACCACCUUUCCCAAGGCAACACUGCAGAAGUUAAACAAUUCGUCGUGGCAAACUCUCCUGCAGGGGAAAAAGAACAGUCACUGAGUACCCAGGAUACCACAGUUGUGCUAGAUGCAUUCAGAAACCUCUUUAUCCCUAGAAGUACCUAGACUACUGAACAAGUAAUCCAUGACUGGAGAGAGAGAGGAGAUCAGGAAAGGGAUCAAAAAAACAUAUAUCAAAGGUAUUAAUGAAGUAUAGUUCCCUAUUUCAGCAGGAAGUCCACCAAUGAGCCACUAAGAGUACCACAACUAAGAGUACCACAAGAAGAUCUCCUGACCAGAUGCACGAGAAACCCCAGCCUCCCAGUCUUAAACCCACACCUCUCCCCACCCUGCCACUAGCUUCUUGUGCAUAUUCUUGAGAGCAGCAGUGAGAGCAAAUCUAGUAAACUGAGUUCUCUCAGAAAGAGAGAUCAGGGUCUCUGGGCGAGGGAGAAACCACAAACAGGAGCUCUAGAGCCACAUUCCGGAAAACUAAAUAGAGGUUUCCAAUAGUGAGACUGGUUAGGUGGUAAGAACCAGAGAAAAUACAAUAGCUUAAGAAUUCUACAACAAGAGGGAACGAGAAGAGUGGAACAUGUGUACCCAUACAAAGGCAGAGGAAAACUCACCUAUAAAAUCACAAAAGAUGGAAUAACCCAUCUGAGGCAAUUAGUAAAGAUUUAAGGAGAUGUCUGCUACUUCAAAGAAGUAACAUGAAUUAUCAAGAAAAUAUGUCAUCACCUAAAGAGAACAAUAAUUCUCAAAGUACAAAGCUGAAAGGCACAGAAUUUUGCAAGAAACAUGAAUUAUCAAGAAAAUAUGUCAUCACCUAAAGAGAACAAUAAUUCUCAAAGUACAAAGCUGAAAGGCACAGAAUUUUGCAACCUGGCUGAUAAAGAUUUUUAAAACAGCUGUUUAAAACAACCACAAGAAAACUCGGAAAAACAAUUGAAUGACAUAAGGGAGGAAAAAUGAACAAAAUGAGAUACUCACCAAAGAGAUAAAAAUUAUAAAAAGGAACCAAACAGGAAUUCAGGAUAUGAGGCGUUCAAUGAAUGAAAUGAAAAAUGCAAUAGAGAGCAUCUGCAGUAGAGUAGAGCAGAUGAAAAAUGAAAAAGUGAGCUACAGGACAGGGAGUUUGAAAUAACCCAGUCAGUGCUGAGCAAAGAAAAAAGAAUGAGAAAUAACAAAGAAAGCCUACGUAAUCUAUGGGAUUCCAUCAAAACCAAAUUAGAAUAAUAGACGUUAAAAAUUAGAAAAGACAGAGAAGGUG